rnacentral:rRNA from 1 species
CUGACGAGUCCUUAACUGACGCUAAUGCUCGAAAGUGCGGGUAUCGAACAGGAUUAGAUACCCUGGUAGUCCGCACGGUAAACGAUGGAUGCCCGCUGUUGGCGAUACAAUGUCAGCGGCCAAGCGAAAGCGUUAAGCAUCCCACCUGGGGAGUACGCCGGCAACGGUGAAACUCAAAGGAAUUGACGGGGGCCCGCACAAGCGGAGGAACAUGUGGUUUAAUUCGAUGAUACGCGAGGAACCUUACCCGGGCUUGAACUGCAGGAGAACGAUUCAGAGAUGAUGAGGUCCUUCGGGACUCCUGUGGAGGUGCUGCAUGGUUGUCGUCAGCUCGUGCCGUGAGGUGUCGGCUUAAGUGCCAUAACGAGCGCAACCCCUUUCUUCAGUUGCCAUCAGGUUAUGCUGGGCACUCUGGAGACACUGCCACCGUAAGGUGUGAGGAAGGUGGGGAUGACGUCAAAUCAGCACGGCCCUUACGUCCGGGGCUACACACGUGUUACAAUGGGUGGUACAGAGAGCGGGCUGCCUGCAAAGUCAGCCGAAUCAUGAAAGCCAUCCUCAGUUCGGAUUGGGGUCUGCAACCCGACCCCAUGAAGCUGGA